GAGCGGAUGGUUCGGGCUCGGCCGAGUACCAGCGGAUCCGGCCUGUCACGCCGGAGGUCGCGGGUUCGAGUCCCGUCGCUCC
rnacentral:tRNA from 1 species